rnacentral:rRNA from 1 species
CCUACGGGAGGCAGCAGUGGGGAAUAUUGCACAAUGGACGAAAGUCUGAUGCAGCAACGCCGCGUGGAGGAUGACACAUUUCGGUGCGUAAACUCCUUUUAUAUGAGAAGAUAAUGACGGUAUCAUAUGAAUAAGCGCCGGCUAACUCCGUGCCAGCAGCCGCGGUA